AGGCAAGGGGUGCACUUGCACCCGCUGCACCCGUGGUUCCGGCAUCCCCGAUUAAAGUAAAAGAUACGGCAACUUUCUGUCCAUUUUGGGGUGCUAUGCCUAUGGUCUAAGCAUGGACAUCACAAUUUACUGUUUUAUUGUGUUUUAAUACUGUGGAAAAGUACCUUAUAAAUUUACAAAACGCCAAAAGAAACAGCUACGUCUGCCAUCUGCCAUCUGCCGGUUUUCAAAAUAUAGUUUGGUACACAAAUGCCGUAAUCAAGAUUGUGUACACUGUACAGUAAAAGGAUUUACAUCACAAGAUCUUUGUCGAUUGCCACCACCAAAACUGUAGACUGUAGUUUUAUUAAAGCCGAGCAUUCAACUCAAGUUUCUUCAAAAAAUAACUGUAGAAAAAAUACUUGUAUUGCCAAACAAUUCGCUGUACCACCACCUGUUUCACAAAGUUUCCACUUGCCAUUUGUUGAACAGUCACAAGUUCUUGCACUUCUACUGUUUGCAGCGCAGUGUAUUACCUACUAGUAAAAACACUGUUUUUGAAAGCUGUAAAACAACUUCGCUGCUUCUUUUUCUGUUUUCGUGUUCUGUUUUAUAGAAUAAACACGCAUGCGUUGAAAAAUGCUUUUCAACUUCUAAAAUAAUUCGAAGUCCAUUUGAUUGGCUGGGAUUUUGUUCUCAAAUUUAAUUAUUCAAGCACUGCCUAAAAUUCCAAAAUUGAUUUAUUUAAAUUUAUAUUUUUUCUUGAAACUUUCAAAAUGCUUUAUAAAUCCACGUCUGAAAUGUUCAAUUUCAGUUGCCUAGUUAAACAAUAUUUCUCCCAUCUAUCCCAUUCUAUCCCUAGUUUUGACACGGGGCCAGCCAAUCAAAAACGUUCUUAUAUUACAUUUAUUUUUAAAAUAAAUUUAACCUUGGGUUAAAUGUCUUAACCCUGGGUUAACUAACCGCACCUCUAACCCAGCUUUGAACAACGCAGUUUUAACUCAGG